rnacentral:rRNA from 1 species
GAUGAACGCUGGCGGCGUGCCUAAUACAUGCAAGUCGAGCGAACAGACGAGGCGCUUGCUCCUCUGACGUUAGCGGCGGACGGGUGAGUAACACGUGGAUAACCUACCUAUAAGACUGGGAUAACUUCGGGAAACCGGAGCUAAUACCGGAUAAUAUAUUGAACCGCAUGGUUCAAUAGUGAAAGACGGUUUUGCUGUCACUUAUAGAUGGAUCCGCGCCGCAUUAGCUAGUUGGUAAGGUAACGGCUUACCAAGGCAACGAUGCGUAGCCGACCUGAGAGGGUGAUCGGCCACACUGGAACUGAGACACGGUCCAGAGUCCUACGGGAGGCAGCAGUAGGGAAGCUUCCGCAAAGGGCGAAAGCCUGACGGAGCGACGCCGCGUGAGUGAUGAAGGUCUUCGGAUCGUAAAACUCUGUUAGUAGGGAAGAACAAAUGUGUAAGUAACUAUGCACGUCUUGACGGUACCUAAUCAAAAAGCCACGGCUAACUACGUG